rnacentral:rRNA from 1 species
CCUACGGGUGGCAGCAGUGGGGAAUAUUGCACAAUGGGGGAAACCCUGAUGCAGCGACGCCGCGUGAGUGAAGAAGUAAUUCGUUAUGUAAAGCUCUAUCAGCAGGGAAGAAAAUGACGGUACCUGAGUAAGAAGCUCCGUCUAAAUACGUGCCAGCAGCCGCGGUAAUACGUAGGCGGCAAGCGUUAUCCGGAUUUACUGGGUGUAAAGGGGGCGUAGGCGGCAGUGCAAGUCUGGAGUGAAAGGCGGGGGCUCAACCCCCGGACUGCUCUGGAAACUGUACGGCUUGAGUGCAGGAGAGGUAAGUGGAAUUCGUGGUGUAGCGGUGAAAUGCGGAGAUAUUAGGAGGAACACCAGUGGCGAAGGCGGCUUACUGGACUGUAACUGACGUUGAGGCUCGAAAGCGUGGGGAGCAAACAGGAUUAGAUACCCCUGUAGUC